CAGGCGCGCAAUUACCCAAUCCCGACUCGGGGAGGUAGUGACAAUAAAUACUGAUACAGGGCUCUUUUGGGUCUUGUAAUUGGAAUGAGUACAAUUUAAAUCCCUUAACGAGGAACAAUUGGAGGGCAAGUCUGGUGCCAGCAGCCGCGGUAACUCCAGCUCCAAUAGCGUAUAUUAAAGUUGUUGUGGUUAAAAAGCUCGUAGUUGAACCUUGGGCCUGGCUGGCCGGUCCGCCUCACCGCGUGUACUGGUCCGGCCGGGCCUUUCCCUCUGUGGAACCCCAUGCCCUUCACUGGGUGUGGCGGGGAAACAGGACUUUUACUUUGAAAAAAUUAGAGUGCUCCAGGCAGGCCUAUGCUCGAAUACAUUAGCAUGGAAUAAUAAAAUAGGACGUGUGGUUCUAUUUUGUUGGUUUCUAGGACCGCCGUAAUGAUUAAUAGGGACAGUCGGGGGCAUCAGUAUUCAAUUGUCAGAGGUGAAAUUCUUGGAUUUAUUGAAGACUAACUACUGCGAAAGCAUUUGCCAAGGAUGUUUUCAUUAAUCAGGAACGAAAGUUAGGGGAUCGAAGACGAUCAGAUACCGUCGUAGUCUUAACCAUAAACUAUGCCGACUAGGGCUCGGACGAUGUUAUUAUUUGACUCGUUCGGCACCUUACGAGAAAUCAAA
rnacentral:rRNA from 1 species